AACGAACGCUGGCGGCAUGCCUAACACAUGCAAGUCGAACGAGACCUUCGGGUCUAGUGGCGCACGGGUGCGUAACGCGUCGGAACCUGCCCUUAGGUUCGGAAUAACUCCCCGACAGGGGUGCUAAUACCGGAUAAUGUCUUCGGACCAAAGAUUUAUCGCCUUUGGUGGGGCCCGCGUUGGAUUAGCUAGUUGGUAGGGUAAAAGCCUACCAAGGCGACGAUCGAUAGCUGGUCUGAGAGAAUGAUCAGCCACACUGGGACUGAGACACGGCCUAGACUCCUACGGGAGGCAGCAGUGGGGAAUAUUGGACAAUGGGCGAAAGCCUGAUCCAGCAAUGCCGCGUGAGUGAUGAAGGCCUUAGAGUUGUAAAGCGCUUUUACCCGGGAUGAUAAUGACAGUACCGGGAGAAUAAGCUCCGGCUAACUCCGUG
rnacentral:rRNA from 1 species